rnacentral:rRNA from 1 species
ACACAUGCAAGUCGAACGGUGAAAGAGAGCUUGCUCUCUGGAUCAGUGGCGAACGGGUGAGUAACACGUGAGCAAUCUGCCCUUGACUCUGGGAUAAGCGCUGGAAACGGCGUCUAAUACCGGAUACGAGCUGCGAAGGCAUCUUCAGCAGCUGGAAAGAACUUCGGUCAAGGAUGAGCUCGCGGCCUAUCAGCUAGUUGGUGAGGUAAUGGCUCACCAAGGCGUCGACGGGUAGCCGGCCUGAGAGGGUGACCGGCCACACUGGGACUGAGACACGGCCCANACUCCUACGGGAGGCAGCAGUGGGGAAUAUUGCACAAUGGGCGCAAGCCUGAUGCAGCAACGCCGCGUGAGGGACGACGGCCUUCGGGUUGUAAACCUCUUUUAGCAGGGAAGAAGCGAAAGUGACGGUACCUGCAGAAAAAGCACCGGCUAACUACGUGCCAGCAGCCGCGGUAAUACGUAGGGUGCAAGCGUUAUCCGGAAUUAUUGGGCGUAAAG